GUCAAAACGGAUUCUUUCGGCUACCCCUCCUGAAAGUGUCCACAAGACCUUCAUGGGGGAGGUGUCCUGCUCAGGAGGAAAGAAUAGAAACCAGAAGCUACCAAGAAGAACCUGAGAAAGGAUGGUGAGGCCUUCCAAGAGGGGUGUUUUAAUCAGGGGCGAAGAGGAGCAGAAUUCAAACCACCCAGAAAACGACCUCAGGGAUGUUGCCCCCAGUUCCUGGCAUUCAUUUCCCUGUCUCAGUUGCUGUGUUUUGCAGUCUCCUUCCUUCUAUGGCCUUUGGCGGGUACGAAGCUGACUCAGUUCCUCUAACGUCUGAUGAACAGCUUAGCUUCUGGUGGUGCUGGGAUGUGACAUCCAUCAAUAAAAGAGAAGUAGAUGACUGCAGUUAAAAUUAGCAGACAGAAGCCGGGGCCUCAGAUGAGAAGUUGCAAAUAGUGAAGUGCUGUCUGGAAGAAGACGGGUUCCCAAAGGUAAACUUCAGUCCUGUGGAUGAACAGGCCACCCGAAAAACUGCCAUCCGGCCAUAACCGCUGAAGGGUGAGGAACAAGCAUGCACUCUGAGCUGUUUAAGUCAUUAAUCGUCUCUCGUUGGUCACCACUGCACAUGCAGUGCCUGACACAGAGAGCACUGCGGGAAAACUGCUUUUGUCAUUCAUAAGCAAGCCAGAGAAAAGAAAUGAAACCCUCAGGGACUUGUAACAUUUGCUUGGUGUGUCAUUCGUGAGUAGCCGCGUAUUUGCUGUUUCCAGAAUAAAUGCUGUCUCAGGUGGGAAUGACAGGUUGAAAGAAUGUUGGUCUGGGUUUAA